AAAAACUAGGUGACAGAAAUAGGACCUGAAGCUGGCAUACUGGUCUUCAAGCUUGCAGCGCAGCUCCGUGGGCUUUGGAUGACUAAAGAAAAGCAUGAGGCACAGGAGAGAACUGCUGCUGGAUCUUAAUGAAAGAUGUUCAAAAUUGGCACAGCAGAGCCUAUAUAGUUUUCAAAUCGUUAGCAGCUCCUUCACCGACUUGUUAGCAGACAGAGCAGAAUCUAUACUUUCUCCUUCUGUAUGGCUCUUGAAAGAAACUUGGUUGGAACUCAUUUGCUUGUUGGAAAAAAAAAUGGGAUGUUGGAUCAAGUGCAACUGUAGCAAAUACUGACUUUCCUUAAACUAUUUAGAGUUUUCAUGUGUUGAUACUCAUUAGAAAAAAUCAAAACUUGAAAAAAUUACUAUAAGGAUUAAGCUAUGAGAUCAUUUUCAGAAAAAAAAAAAAUGGAACAUAGUUUUACAGAAAAUAAUUUUCAUAGCACUUUCAGGUAACAUAGCUGUCUGUAAACACGAUGUUUAAGGAAAAGAUACUUGGUCUCUUUAUGAUUCUUUCUGUGGCCUUCUAAAUUAAAAGUCUGACUGUGUGAACCCUGGUUAUCUGUGUUACAGAAAACUGAUCUGCUUUGCAAGCUGAGAUUAUUCUGAAACAGAGCAAAGUAUGAAAGACAUGGUCUUGUGGUUUGGGUUACUAUCAUGUAAUUUACACAGACUGUAUAACAGCCAAAUCUUUUUGUGAUUUAAAAACUUCAUUUAACUGCAUAAAGGAUGAAUGUGCCCCCUGAAUAGUUUCUUGUGUUCAUGCACAUUGCCAGUGAUUUACUACUGAGAGAAGUCCUAGCAACUGUAAACAACUAGAUAAUUCAUCAGAACAUCACACAUAAAUAUAUCUCAAAUAAUUUUUGUAUCACAGCUAGUCUAAUGCAUUAACUUUUUAUCUUAGGAGCUCUUCCAUAAUAAUCUAUUUCUCAUUUUAUGGGAUAGAUAAUGAAAGAAUUUCUUGAAAUAUCUAAAAUAAAACAUUGGAUGAGAAAAGGGGAGAGACAGAAUGGGUUUUGAAGUGUUGAUGCAAUAUUACAGAUUGUGUUGCAGUUCACAGAGGAGAAGACUACUUUGGUUAUGAUACCAAAAUAUUUCUCUUCCACUUCUGUAAGCUACACUAAUUAUUUUACAGUUAGAAGCUUAAAAAGAUCUUGAGAAGUUAAUUUCAACCUCUUAAUAAAGGCUACAUGGCUAACA